CAGUCGCCGCGGUAAUACGGAGGGAGCUAGCGUUGUUCGGAAUUACUGGGCGUAAAGCGCACGUAGGCGGUUAUUCAAGUCAGAGGUGAAAGCCCGGGGCUCAACCCCGGAACUGCCUUUGAAACUAGAUGACUGGAAUCUUGGAGAGGUCAGUGGAAUUCUGAGUGUAGAGGUGAAAUUCGUAGAUAUUCGGAAGAACACCAGUGGCGAAGGCGACUGACUGGACAAGUAUUGACGCUGAGGUGCGAAAGCGUGGGGAGCAAAUGGGAUUAGAUACCCCCGUAGUCCCUGUCUCUUAUAC
rnacentral:rRNA from 1 species